rnacentral:rRNA from 1 species
UACGGAGGGGGCUAGCGUUGUUCGGAAUUACUGGGCGUAAAGAGCUCGUAGGCGGUUUGUCGCGUCUGCCGUGAAAGUCCGGGGCUCAACUCCGGAUCUGCGGUGGGUACGGGCAGACUAGAGUGAUGUAGGGGAGACUGGAAUUCCGGGUGGUAGCGGGUGGAAUGCGUAGAGAUCCGGAAGAACACCGGUGGCGAAGGCGGCCU